GUUUUGUACAAUAUCUAUGAAAAAUUACAUCUGGUAAUUAAACGUAAUAUCAAAGGCAGAUACUAUACUUGUUAUUCCAUCAAGUGGGACCAGUAGCUAAAUGCAUCACCAAAAUAAACUAAUAAUAAGAAAAGUGAGCUCCAUUAGCGUAGAUGAGAGCUGCAGUCUCAUCCAUCCUGUCUAGAUCUGGAAUCAAUAACUAUGGACUCUUCCUAGUUCCUAUCAGUCCCACACAAAACUGUUGCACUAGAACUCAGGAUUUUCAUGAACAUUGUUGUAAAAAUCAGCCUAUGCAGCUAGGCGCCCCUAGGCCAAAGGGAAGAAUGGGAAAGUCACUAUAUUAUGCUCUUGGCCAACUAGCCUCCCUAGUCAGCCAACUUUUUUUUCGUUUGUUUCGCUAUGUGCGUGUUUGUAUUACUGUAUUUACUACUUUGAUGGAUUGUAUGUGUUAUGGUAGGGAUUAUUAUGUGUUUCUAGAGUACUAUAUGCUAUUGAACAUUUGUAUUUUAUGGAAGGAAUACAUGCUAGAAGCCUGGAAGUCCAAACAAACCAGAUUUUUUUUUUAGUUAGGCACUCAUCAAACAUCCAAUGAGUGCCUAGCAAUUUCUACAACACUGUACAUGACAUCGUCAGAAAUCCUAUUGUUUAUUUUAUUUUAUUUCCUCUUAUCUUAUCUCAGUAUGCAGGCAGAUCUAUUAUUCUUAGGCACAGCAUUCUCACCCGUCAAAAAUUUUUCUCCUGUCUUCUAUU